rnacentral:misc_RNA from 1 species
GUACAUUAGUGCUUGUGCACGACAAUAUUUCAUUACAUUCGGAGUAUGUGUAAAAUCCUUUCGCCGGCCGAAACCAACGCAAGGCCAAAGGUUCACAAAUGGGUGUUGGAUGAAAGUCAUCAACGUGCACAUGCCUGAGCGGCCAGCACAGACAACGACAUUUCAAAAUCACUAAUGAUCCUUCCGCAGGUUCACCUACGGAAA